AUUGAACGCUGGCGGCAUGCCUUACACAUGCAAGUCGAACGGUAGAGGGGCAACCCUCGAGAGUGGCGAACGGGUGAGUAAAGCAUCGGAACGUACCCAGUUGUGGGGGAUAGCCCGGCGAAAGCCGGAUUAAUACCGCAUACGCACUGAGGCGGAAAGCGGGGGACUCGCAAGGGCCUCGCGCAAUUGGAGCGGCCGAUGUCAGAUUAGGUAGUUGGUGGGGUAAAGGCCUACCAAGCCGACGAUCUGUAGCUGGUCUGAGAGGAUGACCAGCCACACUGGGACUGAGACACGGCCGAGACUCCUACGGGAGGCAGCAGUGGGGAAUUUUGGACAAUGGGCGCAAGCCUGAUCCAGCCAUGCCGCGUGCGGGAAGAAGGCCUUCGGGUUGUAAACCGCUUUUGUCAGGGAAGAAAUCUUCUGGGUUAACACCUCGGGAGGAUGACGGUACCUGAAGAAUAAGCACCGGCUAACUACGUGCCAGCAGCCGCCGUAA
rnacentral:rRNA from 1 species